rnacentral:rRNA from 1 species
UACGUAGGGCGCAAGCGUUAUCCGGAAUUAUUGGGCGUAAAGAGCUCGUAGGCGGUUUGUCGCGUCUGCCGUGAAAGUCCGGGGCUCAACUCCGGAUCUGCGGUGGGUACGGGCAGACUAGAGUGCGGUAGGGGAGACUGGAAUUCCUGGUGUAGCGGUGAAAUGCGCAGAUAUCAGGAGGAACACCGGUGGCGAAGGCGGGUCUCUGGGCCGAUAUUGACGCUGAGGAGCGAAAGCGUGGGGAGCGAACAGG